rnacentral:rRNA from 1 species
AGAGUUUUUUCCUGGCUCAGGAUGAACGCUGGCGGCGUGCUUAACACAUGCAAGUCGAACGAAGCGCCUGCUUUGAAUUCCUUCGGGAAGGAGAGGCCUGCGACUGAGUGGCGGACGGGUGAGUAACGCGUGGGCAACCUGCCCCGCACUGGGGGACAACAGCUGGAAACGGCUGCUAAUACCGCAUAAGCGCACAGCUUCGCAUGAAGCGGUGUGAAAAACUCCGGUGGUGCGGGAUGGGCCCGCGUCUGAUUAGGCAGUUGGCGGGGUAACGGCCCACCAAACCGACGAUCAGUAGCCGGCCUGAGAGGGCAACCGGCCACAUUGGGACUGAGACACGGCCCAAACUCCUACGGGAGGCAGCAGUGGGGAAUAUUGCACAAUGGGGGGGACCCUGAUGCAGCGACGCCGCGUGGGUGAAGGAGUAUUUCGGUAUGUAAAGCCCUAUCAGCAGGGAAGAACAAUGACGGUACCUGACUAAGAAGCACCGGCUAAAUACGUGCCAGCAGCCGCGGUAAUACGUAUGGUGCAAGCGUUAUCCGGAUUUACUGGGUGUAAAGGGAGCGCAGGCGGCGCGUUAAGCCUGGUGUGAAAGCCCGCGGCCCAACCGCGGGACUGCAUUGGGAACUGGCGCGCUGGAGUGCCGGAGGGGUAGGCGGAAUUCCUAGUGUAGCGGUGAAAUGCGUAGAUAUUAGGAGGAACACCAGUGGCGAAGGCGGCCUACUGGACGGUGACUGACGCUGAGGCUCGAAAGCGUGGGGAGCAAACAGGAUUAGAUACCCUGGUAGUCCACGCCGUAAAC